ensembl:lincRNA C030014I23Rik RIKEN cDNA C030014I23 gene
CAUCUCCAGCGAGGAUACUUUAUUUUAGCAAGUGGGUGUUAAGCCAGACAUAACCACUAGGGGACAGUAAAAACAACCCUUAAGGUCAGUAUUCCUCCAAGACCCCACCUACUCUCACCUGAGGCCAAGAUGGGCAGUGCCUCACCUGGCUUUCACCUAGCGCUCUGUUAACCACUUCCUGCCUAAUCUGAAGUACCUCCCCGAGAUGGAGUCGUUCUUAGUAGAACUGGGGGCCAAUUUUGAUCGGAGGGAGGGUGUCCAGUCCGGGGGUGGGAGUGAAGUCAUGGUUUCCAGAAACUCAGACCCUUGUCCUUGUCCUAGCUGGAGAGGCUAUAGAGUUCUCUGGUUCAGAUGAGUAGGUCUCUUUUCUAAGCAGUGAAAGCCAAGUGGGGUGGUCACUGCGCUGGAACCCCUGGGACAAGCUUUAGUGGAGACUGUUCACGUAGCUUCAAAAUCCAGACUUCCGCCUCCCUGCAGCCAUUUAUCUGUCAAGGGCUUCAGCCAGAGGGAGGGAGGAAGGUAGCCCACCAGUGAAGGGAAGACGACAGGAUGGGAGCAGGAGGUAGGCAGUUAAGACAGGGUUCGAAAGCGGAUGGCUUUCGGCAGCUUUCAGGUACCCGCUUUGCGUGUCGUUUCUCCUGUUACUGGCAGCCUUUCAGGGAUCAGAUCAGCCGAAGUUCCGGGAUUGCGUUCCGGGCCUUAACGAGUUAAACUGUGGGAGUGGGGUCCGGAGUCCCUCCCUCCCUCCUUCGCGAAUCAAGUGUCACCACUUCCAAGUCCAUCAGACUGGCACGCUAGGAGUUAAGUCUGCCCGCAAUCCGCAAGACUGGAGCCGGAGAGGGGGGAGGAGGGGGGAGGGGGAAAGCAAGGAGCUGGGGGAAGCAGACUGCAGGGAGACAGCGCCUGGAACCCCCUCCCCAGGGACCUGGCCCUGGGCCCCCAGCCCCAAAAGGGGCCCUGCCCUCCCCGGGGUCGCGCUCUCUUCCCCCCCCCCCGCCCUGCCCCCGCCCUUCAGCUUUGUGUCCCCAGGAGGGUGGGCUGCAAGAUUUCCAGCCAAGCCUUGGCUGCCUGCUCAGUUUUUCCAAACCCUCCAGUCGGAGAAGGCGGGAGCCUUGUCAGGAUAAGAGUCCCUCCCCCCUCUGCCCCUGCCGGCCCCCUGGUCCAGCUUGGAGUUUCCUGUCCUCGCAGCUUUCCAAACUCCUUUCCCUUUCCGACCCUGGCCCCAGCGCCCCCUAGCCCCACCUCUGUUGGUUCCCAAAUUCCAAGUUCAGGUUGGAGGGGCCAGGUGGACUCCACAAUCCUAGCGAGGCGCUGGUAAAGCCUCACUCUGCCGGCCGACCCAGAGACCUGCGGGGCGCCGGCCUGACUCCCGGCCUGGGCCCGCCCUGUCCCAGGACUCGGCUUCUGGCCACCAGGGAAGGUGGCUCUUGGGGUCUCCCGCUCCCGGAAGGAGGCGGUGCCGGGGACGUCGGCACAGCUGGGCGGUAAGGUGGGUUCGGCAGAUGCCAGGCCCUAAGGCAUACUUCAAGGAGGGGCAAUGUUCCCAGCGCUGGCACGCCUCUGUCCAGAGAGUCUAUUAUAUAAUAAUCACCAUCUAUCAGGAAGCCAGGCUGCUGGAGAGAGUGGGUAAGCCAGGAUGCCCGGAUCCGCGCCUCAUCCAGGGCCCAGAAAGGUGUCUCCAUCAAGCCCGGAUCCGCGCCUCAUCCAGGGCCCAGAAAGGUGUCUCCAUCAAGCUACGCACAGUGUGGGGCAAAGCCCAGUGGUCGGAUGAAGAUGAUGAUGGUGACAGGAGGGGGAUUCCAGGGACUAGU